rnacentral:rRNA from 1 species
UACGUAGGGUGCAAGCGUUGUCCGGAAUUAUUGGGCGUAAAGAGCUCGUAGGCAGUUUGUCGCGUCUGCUGUGAAAGUCCGGGGCUCAACUCCGGAUCUGCGGUGGGUACGGGCAGACUAGAGUGAUGUAGGGGAGACUGGAAUUCCUGGUGUAGCGGUGAAAUGCGCAGAUAUCAGGAGGAACACCGAUGGCGAAGGCAGGUCUCUGGGCAUUAACUGACGCUGAGGAGCGAAAGCAUGGGGAGCGAACAGG